CCAACAUGGGUAUCCAGUGAGGUUGCUUUCACAUGGCUCUGCCCGAGUGGCGCAUGGGAGCAAUGAUGUAUAUUCCCAUUCCACAAUGUUGGAGAGCAAGUUUUCCCUUCCGGCUGAAAAGGCUGUUGAGGGGAGGCGUCCUGUAUAUUCCUAUAACUUCUCAGUAUUUGCGGUUACUGAGGAGAUAAACCAUGCAGGACACAUCC